rnacentral:rRNA from 1 species
UACGUAGGGUGCGAGCGUUGUCCGGAAUUAUUGGGCGUAAAGAGCUCGUAGGCGGUGUGUCGCGUCGGUCGUGAAAACUUGGGGCUUAACCCUGAGCUUGCGGUCGAUACGGGCAUCACUGGAGUUCGGCAGGGGAGACUGGAAUUCCUGGUGUAGCGGUGAAUUGCGCAGAUAUCAGGAGGAACACCGGUGGCGAAGGCGGGUCUCUGGGCCGAUACUGACGCUGAGGAGCGAAAGCAUGGGGAGCAAACAGG